UACGGGGGGAGCAAGCGUUGUUCGGAUUUACUGGGCGUAAAGGGCGCGUAGGCGGCGCAACAAGUCACUUGUGAAAUCUCCGGGCUUAACCCGGAGCGGUCAAGUGAUACUGUCGUGCUAGAGUGCGGAAGGGGCUACUGGAAUUCUCGGUGUAGCGGUGAAAUGCGUAGAUAUUGGGAGGAACACCAGUGGCGAAGGCGGCUCACUGGACCGGUACUGACGCUGAUGCGCGAAAGCGUGGGGAGCAAACGGG
rnacentral:rRNA from 1 species